rnacentral:rRNA from 1 species
GUGUCAGCCGCCGCGGUAAUACGGAGGGUGCAAGCAUUGAUCGGAAUUACUGGGCGUAAAGGGCGCGUAGGCGGCUAUAUAAGUCAGAUGUGAAAUUCCGGGGCUCAACCCCGGAGCUGCAUUUGAAACUAUAUAACUAGAGUACAGUUAGGGAAAAUGGAAUUACACGUGUAGCGGUGAAAUGCGUAGAUAUGUGUAGGAACACCGGUGGUGAAGACGAUUUUCUGGGCUGAAACUGACGCUGAGGCGCGAAAGCAAGGGGAGCAAACAGGAUUAGAUACCCUGGUAGUCCUUGCCUUAAACGAUGCAUACUAGGUGUAGGAGGGCUCAACCCCCUCUGUACCGAAGCUAACGCAUUAAGUAUGCCGCCUGGGGAGUACGCUCGCAAGGGUGAA